CAGUAGUCAUAUGCUUGUCUUAAAGAUUAAGCCAUGCAUGUCUAAGUAUAAGCAAUUAUACAGCGAAACUGCGAAUGGCUCAUUAAAUCAGUUAUCGUUUAUUUGAUAGUACCUUACUACAUGGAUAACCGUGGUAAUUCUAGAGCUAAUACAUGCUGAAAACCCCGACUUUGGAAGGGGUGUAUUUAUUAGAUUAAAAACCAAUGCCCUCCGGGGCUCACUGGUGAUUCAUGAUAACUUCUCGAAUCGCACGGCCUUGCGCCGGCGAUGGUUCAUUCAAAUUUCUGCCCUAUCAACUUUCGACGGCUGGGUCUUGGCCAGCCGUGGUGACAACGGGUAACGGAGGGUUAGGGCUCGACCCCGGAGAAAACGCCUGAGAAACGGCGUUUACAUCCAAGGAAGGCAGCAGGCGCGCAAAUUACCCAAUGCCGACACGGCGAGGUAGUGACGAGAAAUACUGAUACAGGGCUCUUUUGGGUCUUGUAAUUGGAAUGAGUACAAUUUAAAUCUCUUAACGAGGAACAAUUGGAGGGCAAGUCUGGUGCCAGCAGCCGCGGUAAUUCCAGCUCCAAUAGCGUAUAU
rnacentral:rRNA from 1 species